rnacentral:lncRNA from 1 species
GUUAGGUAAGAAUAUAUGAGAAUCAAUUCUCUAGUAUGUUGAGUACAUGUUUUAUAUGAAGUAAGAUGACAAGUGUUAAAAAGAUGGAACCUCAUAUUGAUAAGUAUGGACAUCUAUUAGGAGUUAGAUAUUUUUAUAAUAUGAUUUAACUAUAGUAAUUCAUAAAUUUGUUGGAACUCCAAUUUUGGGUAAGAGUAUUCUCAUCGUUCUACAUGGAGGAAUGUGCAAAAGCAUAUAUAUAUAUAUAUAUAUAUAUAUAUAUACAUAGUGGUUUAUAUAUGUAUAUACUUGUAUAUAACUCAAAUGUUUUUAACACAAGGAUCUACAGUAGUGUAUGGAUAACUUUUUCAUAAUAUAUAAUGACUUUAGAAAAAAGGAAGGAAUAUAUUGAAUUGUUUGGUUAAGGUGCCAUAUAUACCUGAACAUUCAGAUGACAUGUUUCCUUAGUGAAGAAAGCUCUUUGCCUUGUUUUGGAUUUGAUGAUAUAGGUAAGAAGUGAUGUUUUUGCUGGGAGCAUAGGAAGGUAUAUAUAGAACUGAGGAGGCUUGGUUUUCAAGUUUUGUAUUUGAAUAGUUGCACAAAGCCGGCUUCUUUGAAUGACAUACGUGCACGUGUGUGUCUAUAUAUAUAUAUAUAUAUGUGUGUGUGUUUAUACAAGUCUCCUUUGUUGAUGUAUUUAUUUAAUUAUUUUUGUUUUAGAUCACCAUAGACUGCUAGCUGCAUACGUACGGUUGCUCAUCCAUGUUCAAUAGAAAGAAAAAGAUGAAAGAAAAGGAUUGAUUUAGCUAUGGUUUGACAUUUAGAGGUUCUUGAUUUUUUUUUAUCCUCUGUUCUUGUUGCUAUUUAUUGACUUCUUGUGGCUUUAAGUUCCCAUUAUGCAACCAACCCAAUUCUACCUAUAUGUCUCAGUUAAUAUGAAGAAUUUUAAAUUGGCUUGUGUCUUAUAGAGUUUAUUUCAGAUCUAAAUUGCUGCAUAUAUAUAUAUAUAUAUAUAUUAUAUCUGAUGUUAUUGCCUAUUGCAAUGUUAGCAGUGAAUUUAAACAGCAAAUCCCUUCACUUAAUCUUUAGAAUUUAACUGGUAGUAUUCCACAAACUUCAUAGUCACAACUUGCAGAUCAUUAGAUUAUCCUGAAGAUCCUCAAAGAUUUUUCAUUUCCCAACAUGAUUUUGAAGUAAACUCAUCAUGUUACAUUUGCUACCCAUCACUCGAUUAGCAUCGAAGUGGCUUCUCAAUCAUAUCUUCUACUAUUUUGCCUCUAAUAUCUAAUAAUCAUUAUGCUUUUCUUGUUUUUUUUUUUUUGAAGUCUUUUUAGAAGGAUAA